UACAGAGGUCCCAAGCGUUGUUCGGAUUCACUGGGCGUAAAGGGUGCGUAGGCGGUCGGGUAAGUCUGGCGUGAAAUCUCCAAGCCUAACUUGGAAACUGCGUUGGAUACUAUCCGGCUCGAGGAAUGGAGGGGAGAGUGGAAUUCCCGGUGUAGCGGUGAAAUGCGCAGAUAUCGGGAGGAACACCGGUGGCGAAGGCGGUUCUCUGGGCCUGUUCUGACGCUGAGGAGCGAAAGCGUGGGGAGCGAACAGG
rnacentral:rRNA from 1 species